AACGAACGCUGGCGGCAGGCCUAACACAUGCAAGUCGAGCGAGACUUUCGGGUCUAGUGGCGGACGGGUGAGUAACGCGUGGGAACGUGCCUUUUUCUGCGGAAUAGCCCCGGGAAACUGAGGCUAAUACCGCAUAUGCCCUUCGGGGGAAAGAUUAAUCGGCAUUAGAUCGGCCCGCGUCUGAUUAGGUAGUUGGUUGAGGUAAUGGCUAACCAAGGCUACGAUCAUUAGCUGGUCUGAGAGGAUGAUCAGCCACAUUGGGACUGAGACACGGCCCAGACUCCUACGGGAGGCAGCAGUGGGGAAUCUUACGCAAUGGGCGCAACCCUGACGUAGCCAUGCCGCGUGAAUGAUGAAGGUCUUAGGAUUGUAAAACUCUUUCAGCUGGGAAGAUAAUGACGGUACCAGCAGAAGAAGCCCCGGCUAACUCCGUG
rnacentral:rRNA from 1 species